rnacentral:rRNA from 1 species
UACGGAGGGUGCAAGCGUUAUCCGGAUUCACUGGGUUUAAAGGGUGCGUAGGAGGACUGGUAAGUCAGUGGUGAAGUCCCCGAGCUUAACUUGGGAACUGCCGUUGAUACUAUCAGUCUUGAAUACCGUGGAGGUGAGCGGAAUAUGUCAUGUAGCGGUGAAAUGCUUAGAUAUGACAUAGAACACCAAUUGCGAAGGCAGCUCGCUACACGAAUAUUGACUCUGAGGCACGAAAGCGUGGGGAUCAAACAGG